GACGAACGCUGGCGGCGUGCUUAACACAUGCAAGUCGAACGGAAAGGCCCUGCUUUUGUGGGGUGCUCGAGCGCCGCACGCGCGUAACACGCGCGUAACCCGCCCCCGACCCUGGGAUCACUCCCGGCAACCCGCCCCAACACCGCCCAGGAGCUCCUGCCGCCCGCCGGGGCCCGGAAAGUCCCGGCGGCUGGGGCUGGACUCGCGGCUUAUCCGCUCGUUGGUGGGGUAGUGGCUUACCAAGGCCUUGACGGGUAGCCGGCCUGAGAGGGUGACCGGCCACAUUGGGACUGAGGUACGGCCCAGACUCCUACGGGAGGCAGCAGUGGGGAAUAUUGCACAGUGGGCGGAAGCCUGAUGCAGCGGCGCCGCGUGCGGGAUGACGGCCUUCGGGUUGUAAACCGCUGUCGCCUGUGACGAAGCGUGAGUGACGGUAAUGGGUAAGGAAGCACCGGCUAGCUACGUG
rnacentral:rRNA from 1 species